UACGUAGGUGGCAAGCGUUAUCCGGAUUUACUGGGUGUAAAGGGCGUGUAGGCGGGACUGCAAGUCAGAUGUGAAAACCACGGGCUCAACCUGUGGCCUGCAUUUGAAACUGUAGUUCUUGAGUACUGGAGAGGCAGACGGAAUUCCUAGUGUAGCGGUGAAAUGCGUAGAUAUUAGGAGGAACACCAGUGGCGAAGGCGGUCUGCUGGACAGCAACUGGCGCUGAGGCGCGAAAGCGUGGGGAGCAAACAGG
rnacentral:rRNA from 1 species